GCCUCCCGAGACAGCCUUGGCAGGAGGAGGUAGCACCCCUCCUCCCACUGAGAGAGGCACAAAUCCCUCUGGGUGAUGAGCACUCAGCUCCAUUCUUAGUUUAUGUCCCUUUCUCUAUUUCUGACCUGUACAACUGGAAGGCUCACAAUCCCCCCUUCUCUGAAGAGCCCCAGGUUUUGACCUCACUGAUGGAGUCCAUGCUCCAGACUCACCAGCCCACCUGGGAUGAUUGUCAGCAACUCCUUUUAAUCCUUUUCACCUCUGAAGAGAGGGAUCGUAUCUGAAGAGAAGCCAGAAAGUAUUUCCUUACAUCAGCCGGUAGACCGGAGGGGAAGCCCAAAACCUCCUUGAGCAGGUUUUUCCCUCUAUCCGGCCUGAUUGGGAUCCAGACUCCUCAGGUGGGAGGAGAGCUUUGGAUGAUUUUCACCAGUAUCUCCUUGCAGGCAUCAAGGGAGCUGCUUGAAAACCCAUGAAUCUGUCUAAUAAAACUUAAGUUGUCCAGGGGCUUGAUGAGUCGCCUGGAGUCUUUUUAGAACGCCUCCAGGAGGCCUAUCGAACUGCCUCAUGCCAUAGAGACUUUGCUGCGAAGUGCUUCUGGCAAAUGGAUGUCAAAUGCUCGCAUUUUGCAGUAUCAGAAUUUACUGUUAGAUCAGCCUCGUUUAACUUUCUCUCCCACAAUGUGUUUAAAUCCAGCUACUUUGCUCCCAGAUCCAGACUUCACCACACCUGUCCAUGACUGCCA
rnacentral:lncRNA from 1 species